rnacentral:rRNA from 1 species
UGACAUGAGUAACGAUAAAGGGGGUGUAAAACCCCCUCGCCGUAAGCCCAAGGUUUCCUGCGCAACGUUAAUCGGCGCAGGGUGAGUCGGCCCCUAAGGCGAGGCCGAAAGGCGUAGUCGAUGGGAAGCAGGUUAAUAUUCCUGCACCACUUAUUACUGCGAUGGGGGGACGGAGAAGGUUAGGUCAGCCGGCUGUUGGUUACCGGUUUAAGCGUGUAGGCAGAUCCCUUAGGCAAAUCCGGGGGGUUAAUGCUGAGGCGUGAUGACGAGUCUCUUCGGAGGCGAAGUGAUUGAUACCCUGCUUCCAGGAAAAGCCUCUAAGCUUCAGGUAAUAAGUGACCGUACCCCAAACCGAGACAGGUGGGCUGGGUGAGAAUCCCAAGGCGCUUGAGAGAACUCGGGUGAAGGAACUAGGCAAAAUAGUACCGUAACUUCGGGAGAAGGUACGCCCCUGGUACGUGAAGGCCCUGCGGCUGGAGCGGAAGGGGGUUGCAGUGACCAGGCCGCUGCGACUGUUUACUAAAAACACAGCACUCUGCAAACUCGAAAGAGGGCGUAUAGGGUGUGACGCCUGCCCGGUGCCGGAAGGUUAAGUGAUGGGGUCAGCGCAAGCGAAGCUCUUGAUCGAAGCCCCGGUAAACGGCGGCCGUAACAAUAACGGUCCUAAGGUAGCGAAAUUCCUUGUCGGGUAAGUUCCGACCUGCACGAAUGGCGUAACGAUGGCGGCGCUGUCUCCACCCGAGACUCAGUGAAAUUGAAAUCGCUGUGAAGAUGCAGUGUUCCCGCGGCUAGACGGAAAGACCCCGUGAACCUUUACUAUAGCUUCACACUGGACUUUGAACCUGCUUGUGUAGGAUAGGUGGGAGGCUGUGAAGCGGUGACGCCAGUUGCCGUGGAGCCAUCCUUGAAAUACCACCCUGGCAUGUUUGGAGUUCUAACCUCGACCCGUCAUCCGGGUUAGGGACAGUGUGUGGUGGGUAGUUUGACUGGGGCGGUCUCCUCCCAAAGAGUAACGGAGGAGCGCGAAGGUACCCUCAGCGCGGUCGGAAAUCGCGCAAUGAGUGCAAAAGCAAAAGGGUGCUUGACUGCGAGACAAACAAGUCGAGCAGGUGCGAAAGCAGGCUUUAGUGAUCCGGUGGUUCUGUAUGGAAGGGCCAUCGCUCAACGGAUAAAAGGUACUCCGGGGAUAACAGGCUGAUUCCUCCCAAGAGUUCAUAUCGACGGGGGAGUUUGGCACCUCGAUGUCGGCUCAUCACAUCCUGGGGCUGAAGUCGGUCCCAAGGGUAUGGCUGUUCGCCAUUUAAAGUGGUACGCGAGCUGGGUUUAGAACGUCGUGAGACAGUUCGGUCCCUAUCUACCGUGGGCGUUGGAGACUUGAGGGAAGCUGCUCCUAGUACGAGAGGACCGGAGUGGACGUACCCCUGGUGUUCCGGUUGUCACGCCAGUGGCAUUGCCGGGUAGCUACGUACGGAAGGGAUAACCGCUGAAAGCAUCUAAGCGGGAAGCCCCUCCCAAGAUGAGGUCUCCCUGGGCUCUUGAAGCCCCUGAAGGUCCGUCGAAGACCACGACGUUGAUAGGCGGGGUGUGGAAGCGCGGUAACGUGUGAAGCUAACCCGUACUAAUUGACCGUGAGGCUUGAUC